AACAAAAUCAACAAAACUUUUCUCCCUAUUCACGUGAACCACAAAACCCUCUCAAGCCUUCUUGUUGCUACUGUUCAGCCGCCACCCUGAACCCUCGCCGGCGACCACCGCCGUCCGCCCGCGCCGCCAGUAAGCCAACCCCUCCUCAUCUCCUCCGUCGUCUCUUCCUCCCUCUCUGUUUUCGUCCUUCCUCUCAGCCCUUCGUUUUUGCGCAGCAACACCGCAAGCCACGCCCUGUCACCGCCAGCAACCGCUCCAGCCUCAGCCGCCGGCCGCCGCCACUACAAGCCGGACCACCGCCGUCGCCGCUCACGUUCUCCGCGAGUCUCACCACCACCCAGCAUCACGACGACAGCCGUCGCACUGCCGCCCAGUCGAUCCGCUCCGUCGCGCUGCCCUACCCGCCGGCCAGCACCUCCCCUCUCCUCCUUUUGGCGGAGAAUUCUUUGUAGGCGAUUUUUGAAUUCGUUAAAGUGGCCUAUCGGUUUGUUUACACAAGUCUCUAAGGAUCAAUAAGCAUUGUCCAUCUGCAGGUUUGAAGAUGAUGCAUCAUUGGGGAUCGGGAUUAGAGAGCUUGUAGUUAGAUUUGCUUUAUUAAGUGAUUUGGUUUGUUAACUUAAAUUUGAAAUUUGUCGUACUAUUCGUAUUUCCUUAUUUCAGUUAAAUGGGUUUUGGACUAAA